AGACGGGCGUAGAACGGUUCAGUGUAUGUUGAGCCGGCGUUGAUCGCCGUUCGUCGUUCGAGGCGUAUCGGUGUAAUCGUGAUACGUGCGGAUGAGUCACGAUUCCUCGUCAAAGAAAAAAAAAAAGAAAAAAGAAAAACGCCUCGUGGGCGUUCGUGAAUCGUUCCACUCGAGAAUCACGUAUCGUGGAGUGUAUUUAAAUCGAACGUUAAAUAUAACAUUAAGCGAGGGGAAGAUCGAGUGAGUGUGUGACAGCGUGAGUUUUCACGCGUGUUGGAGCCGGGAAGCGUAUGUUGCUCUCCUGGAAGUUCGAUCGACGUGAACACAAUCGGGAGAAGAAUUGUCGUGAGGGAUGCUUUGAGGCACCGGUGGAGUGGUUUCAUUCAAGGGUGAAAGGGCAUACGAGCAGAUCGAGGCAUGUCCAAGUAUUGGCUGAACGUGGCCCUCAUCAGGGUUCUGUUACCGCUCGUCUUCACCGGAUGUAUAGUAUGGAGGCCUGUAGGAUUGUCACUAGUUUAUUUGGCUCUGAUGCUAUAUUCGCCCCACGUGCCAAUACCGGACGCAAAAACAAUGGCCGGCCACACGGGCCACUAUUUAAAAACUUGCAUCGGUCUGUCUUUUCUCACAACAACCAGCCAAAUCACUUUCCACAUAGUUUUAUUGGCCCUGCCCACUUACGGACACUUCCUCCACAAUUGCGAACCUAUGGAAGUGAUCUUCAGACAUUUAGGUUUCGUAAGGCUAGAUAGCGCGACCGAGUGGGAGAUAUUCUUCUGGUUGACACCAGAAUUAAUCGUCUUACCUACUAGUAUAAUAAUAUAUUUCAUAUGUCGUUUCCUAUCGCAAAAAACGAUCACCGAAGAAGGCGACGCCUCAUUGCAUCAAAACAUCGAGGCCUCUAAGAAAAUCGUAGAUGGAAAUAUUAAGAUCAUCAACUUCUUAGGACGCAUAGGUACUUACGUGGUACUGGCAUCGUUAUGCAUCACAGCAUGUCUGAGACCUUCGAUCGAAGGCGGUUUCUAUUUCCUCAUCUUCUUGGGAGCUUCGACCUGGUGGGCGUGCAACAAAGAGCUUCGAAAAGGGUUUGCCAGGCUGUGCAGGAUCUUGAUGGCAGUCGUGGUACUUCAUAUCCUGGUUCUGCUCAGCUACCAGAAUCAAAUACCUCAAGAAUUAAUACCCGUGAACAGCAGUUGGCAACGAUAUCUUGCCCUGAUUCCUGUUUAUCGAAUCAACUGCUCCAAUCCAAGAUACGUGGAAUAUACCGAUUAUACAGAUUGGCUGAUUUACGGAUACUCCCUGAGACUGUUCUGGCUUUAUUUCGUUUUGGCGUUGCAAUCACAGUUCCUGAGCAAAAAGCCGAACGUUGCUUUUACUAACGAGGCGUUCCAGGCAAAGAAAGUGAAACGUUUGAGCGGAAAACUGGAGAAUCUGAACACUCCGUUGUCCAGGCACGUUUCCAUCAGGAGAAGGACACCAUCUCAAAGAUGGCAAUCGGCGCGACGAAAGGCUCGCUUGAUGCGAUUUGGGUCCGGGAGAACGGGGCUACUGCAAGAUUCAACUGGAAGUGUUAUCGUCCAGGAUGGCCAUCAGGAUGACAACAUUCAGAUGCAGAGUCUCAGCGAUGCUGGUCCAGAUGAACAAUCCGGAAUUAUCGAACAUAUCAUUAUGGCUAUAUAUUCGAUCUUCCAAUUAAUAAUUAAUUCGUCUUAUCUUGCCACGAAUAUCAUAAUGAUGACGUGGAGUAUAAUGUAUCACAGUUGGACAACUUUUGCACUCUUAUUGUGGGCAUUGAUCCUUUGGAUGGUCCCUAAUAAACGCGCUUUGAUGAUGAAAUGCUCUCCCUUCAUCGUUUUUUAUUCAAUGCUCCUUGUCAUCGUGCAAUACGUUUAUAGCAUGGAUUUGACCGAAGAAGAAUUACCAACGCAAAUAAACAGGAUAAAAGUGUCAGAAAUCGGUUUCAUCAAAACUGAUGAGCUAAGUUGCUGGCAUCUAGUGGUCAAAUGUCUAUUCCUAUCGAUGUUCUGGAUAACCAUGAGACAAUACACGGUCGAAAGAACGAGGCAGAGACGUUCCUCGGCGUUGAGAGACAUGGUGGCACCAUUGCACGUAUCUGUUUCGACAGCUACCACAGCGAUGAACCAGGAAGCCCCGGAAAUUAAAAGCAAAUUCAUGUUGGAUGUCGGUAUACUUUUGAGAAAAUUGUUGACCAAAUUUUGGAUCGCAGUGGUGACCAUCAUGCUGUUCAUUUGUGGAAUCACUGGUGAACGUAUGACGGUGUUCAGGAUCAUUUACAUGUCUCUCUUCCUUGUUCUGGUUAUCACCUUCCAGAUAUCUUGGACAGUUUGGAGAAAGAUGAUGUAUCCAUUCUGGCUUACAGUUAUCGGUUAUUCCGUAAUCAUGCUGAUUCUUGUAUACACUUAUCAAUUUCACAAUUUUCCAGAAUAUUGGAGUUAUUUGCAUAUCGACGAGAACUUGCAAAAAGAUAUCGGUUUAGAAAAAUACGAGAUUAAGGAUCUUUUCGUUAGAUUACUCACACCGACAUUCUUCGUAAUUAUUACGGUUCUUCAGAUCCAUUAUUUUCACAAAGAUUUCUUAGAAGUGACCGAUCUCGAUAAAUUCGGACUCGAGAAUCCUCAAAUGGAACGACCGAGCCUUGGCCAUUCACCGAUUUUAACUAUGCCACCAUCCUCUCCAGAACAAAUUUUUCUCAAUGACGAAAAACCUAAAUACACGUUGAAACAGUUAAAACACAUGUCUAAAAUAGAACUGGUAGCGUUAUUUAGCGAUAUAACAACGCACGUAAAAAAUUUUUACAACUAUAUUUGGCUCUUUUUCGAAAUUCAUAUGCAAAAGAUCAUUUUUAUUUCUGUGAUGCUUCUCUGCGUGAACGAUGUCUGUGCUAUUAAUUUAAUAUUCGUCUUGAUAUCAGUUAUAAUGAUCAAUUUUCGAAGAAGCAUUCAAAUAUGCACCGUGAAUAUAGUAGCAGCGAUAAUCGGUAUAUUAAUGGUUGGAAAAAUGCUGUAUCAAAUUCAGUAUAUCAAUCACAGCAAUUGGGAUAUUAAUUGCACGGUAGUUCCAGAGAAUCAUCAAUAUAGCAGCAAUAACAGUAUGUACAACAUAGCGGAAUGGUUUGGAAUAAAGAAAGCCGAGCCAGGAAAUCUGGCAGAGUUGUUGAAGGGCUACAUAGGAAUCAUAGUGGUGACCACUCUCAGAAAGAUAAUUAGAAUUCGACAAUGUUUCUACAGAAAAGCACGAGGAGAACCUUUGGACAGGCCUCAUGUCAUGUUCCCUUUAAUCACUAGACAGCAUGCUGACGAAGGAAUACCGCAAUGCUUGAAAUUCCUUUUCAAUUACGCAUUCUACAAGUUUGGCGUGGAAUUCUGUUUGAUAGGAAUCGUGGCGCUUAUCGCUACCAGACUCGAUUUCUAUUCGGUCCUCUAUGGUAUUUGGCUUUUAAUAUUGUUCUGUCUGAGGAGAAGAAUCUUAUCCAAAAUUUGGCCCUUCUUCAAGUUUUUCAUUAUAAUUCUUCUACCUAUUCAAUAUGCUUUCGUCGUGGCACCUCCCCCAUGGCUUUGCAUAGACUAUCCAUGGGAAAAGUCAGGAAUUUUGAGGGUAUUACAGGAGUGGAUGUACCUGCCAGAUCCUGAUUUUCCACCUAAUGCUAGAAAACUAAUGUGUGAUUUUCUGCUAUUAAUGAUGAUCGUCAGGCAAAGCCUCGUUUUCAAAAUCGAAAAGCGAAGCGAGGCAACUGGCCAAGAGUUUCCAGCCGGUCACAAUUAUUCCGUAUACGAAAACAUAGAGAAACCAAAUUUCGUAAAUCCUGUGAAGGAUUACGUGUCUGAUGCUCACACUUAUUUAGAUAUAGUGAAACGUGGCGUAUUGAUAAGUUUGAUGUGGAUCGCUUUAUCGAUCGUGUUCCUGGCUGGAACAGAGAGGACCAAUCUGUUCUCGUUGGGUUACUUGAUCGGUGCAUUCGUGUUCCUCUGGCAAGGAAGCGACUUUUACUUGAGGCCAGUGCAAACGAUUUUAACAUGGUGGAACUUGUUGAUCGGCUACAACGUGGUCGUCAUAUUCGCCAAGUCUCUGUUCCAAGGUGUCGGUUGCGUGAUGAUAGAGCAGAUGCAAAUGGUAGCGUGUCCGUUCAUUCAAUUGUUCGGUAUAAUUUGUGUAAGAAAAUUCAAAAGUCCGAUCACCGAUUUGAUCCCGGAAAAAUUGGAUUGCGACGUGCCCGAGGAGGACAUAGGGAUGAUCUGGGACGGGUUGUGCUUCACCUUCCUAUUAUUCCAGAAACGAUUGUUCAAGAGCUACUACUUUUUCCACAUAGUCAACGAAACGAAAGCUAUGAGCAUCCUGGCAUCGAGAGGCGCGGAAUUAUUGGAAGAGUUGCAUCAGAAACGCAUCGAGAUCCAAGAAAACAUCGAGAAGAACGUGUUGCAAAAGUUGAAAUUCAAGAUGGACCAGAUCAAGGCGAAUCAGAGGAAAAUUCAAGGCCCCAGUUACAGGGAGCCAGAGAUACACGCAGUUGAUACUCUCUAUCCAAGGACACGGCCGUUGUACAGAGUUCGCGCGCCAAAGACCAACAAAGAGGCUAUUAGAUCGGGUGACUAUUAUAUGUUCGACGAAUUGGACGACGACGAUGUCACCGACAUGAUCCCGGACACCGAGUCCGAGAAGAGGGAAGCGGAGAAACGUCGCGAGUUGGAGCAACGCGGAAGAAGAAUGACCAUUUCCGAGUUGAUGAACACGCUGAUUAAGACAGACAUUGAGAUCGCGACGCACGUCGCCAUGUAUGGAGGGACUGAAAAGGACGCGCUGAAACUACGUCGUCGGAGUGAGCCUUUAACAAGGAAGAAAUCGUCUAUGUCGUAUCUCAGUGCACGUUCCGAGACCGCAGUGGCCACCGAUGCUGCUGAUGUCACAUCAGCAGACGUAGAAACCGAAGAGAAAGACGAGGAGGAACGUGAGAAGACGGAAGUAACGGACGUCGAAGAAGAAAAAAAGCAUGAAGAGGAAAUACCGAAGGAAGAAAGAAUAUCGAUCGCGACGUAUUUCAACUUUCUCAUAGCAAUAAUUAAUAGCACCUUCAUAUCGAUGACAAGAUAUCUGAAUCGAUUUUCACGGGACUACAGAUACAUUCGUAAAGUUUUAACGAAAGAGAAAAAAUUAUUGAAGGCAAAGCCAGAUCUACAAAUGGGGAUGCGACUUGGUAUGAAUCAAAUGUGGCAGCCAAUGAAUUUUCUGAAGAAAGAAUCGACUAAUGGAAAUACCGAGGAAAUUCACGAUGCUGGUGAAGGUCCUAGCCAACCACGACCGCAAGAGCAGAGCACACUUUUCUCCGAGAUUUCACCUGUUCAACACGAUGAUGAUCGUGGCGAAUUAUCAGAAGCCGAUCAACCACCAAUUAUACAAUUAUUGGCGUCUAUUUGGUUUGCAAUUUUGUCGCAUUCGUCUCUAUUUUGUUACUUCAUGGUAUUCCUUCAUCAAAUUAAAAAUGCAUCUGUUCUCUCCAUUCCUCUACCUCUCAUGGUAUUCUUCUGGGGUUCGUUAACCAUCCCUCGACCCUCGAAAACGUUUUGGAUAACGUUGAUCGCGUACACCGAGGCAAUUGUUAUCGUGAAGUGUAUCUUUCAAUUGGAAGUAUUGCCCUGGAAUCGAGAUCCUGCACCGAAUAACCCUCUCUUCACCCCUAGGAUUAUGGGAGUUGAACGCAAAUUUAAUUAUGCUCUGUGGGACUUAUUAUUGCUCCUCGUGGUGUUCUUCCACAGAUUUAUGCUCAAGUCAUUGGGUCAAUGGACAUCUUUGUCUUUGAAACCGAGAAAAAUUAUUCCUUCGACUUUAACUUUAGUUCCGUCCAAACCACCAGAAAGAGGCCAAGGAGAGCCUGUAACAUUACGACAUGAGAUGAAAGAGAAUAUUCACGCGACACCUACGGGAAGAAUUCUGAAUCUUCAACCAGGUGUGAUUGAUGGUGAAAGUGUGCGAACCAAUGAUGAGUACGAGCAACUUGUCGCGGUUCAAGGGGAGGAAAGCAAUCCUUUGGAGCAAGAGUUUACCAAAGUUAUGAAACUGAUGGUCGUCAAAUAUACGGAACCAAUGAAAAAUUUUUUCCGUAAAAUCCUUAGUCCAUAUGGAAAAGAAAAGACGAACGUAUACGCUUACAUGUUCCUCUGCGACUUUUUCAAUUUUUUGCUGUUCAUUUUUGGAUUUUCCGCAUUUGGAACACAACAAGGUGAUGGUGGUGUCGCAGCUUAUUUACAAGAAAAUAGAGUCCCGAUGCCGUUUCUAUUGAUGUUGCUAUUACAAUUCUCAUUGAUAAUCAUCGAUAGAGCCUUGUUUCUAAAGAAAUCGAUCUUGGGCAAAUUAAUUUUCCAUUACUUCCUAAUACUUGGCAUUCACAUUUGGAUGUUCUUCAUUUUGCCGAGCGUAACUGAAAGACGAUUCAACGAGAGGCUACCGCCUCAAAUUUGGUACAUGGUCAAGUGUUUCUAUCUCUUAUUGGCAGCCUAUCAAUUAAGACAAGGUUAUCCAACGAGGAUACUUGGUAAUUUCCUGUGCAAGAAUUACAGUAUUAUCAACUACGUUUUAUUCAAAGGAUUCAUGUUGGUCCCAUUCUUGUUCGAGUUGAGAGCAGUAAUGGAUUGGAUCUGGACGGAUACUUCCAUGACAAUAAUGGAUUGGUUCAAAAUGGAAGAUAUCUUCGCCAAUAUUUAUCAAAUCAAGUGUAUGCGAGGGGUAGAAACAGAUUUCCCUCAACCACGAGGCGAGAAGAAGGGUCAGAUAAGCAAAUACUUGAUGGGUGGUGCUGCUCUUUUUUUCAUGAUCGGAUUAAUAUGGUUCCCUUUGCUCUUAUUUGCCCUCGGUGGCACCGUCGGCAUCUCCAAUCUACCAUACGACGUUUCCAUGAGAAUAAGAAUCGGCCCUCACGAGCCCAUUUACUCCAUGUCGGCGCAAGCUCAAUCCAUCAUGGAAUACAGCCAAUUCGAUUACACGAGAUUUACCAAUUUGUACGUGAGAGACAAACCUGCGAUGACUUUUCUCGAGAACUACAUACAUUCUGAUGUUGCUGCCGUGAGAUUGAGCGGAUUCUCUAGGAAAUUAUGGAAUAUAUCUCCGCCAGACUUGGAAAAAUUGAUAGAGGAAUUAAGAGAUAACGAAACAACCGUGAUUGUUCACGUGGAGUGGACGGUUUCUCGGAGGACAGACGCGAAAGAUGCGACUGGAAUAACCACGACAAUUCGAGACAUAAAAUUGAAACCGUAUGAAAACAAGGAAUUUAAUCCCGUGAGAGAAAUGUUAGCCAAUAUACUUUCCAACUUAACGAUCCCCCACACCAGCACUAUCAUAUUGCCAUAUGCUUUCCCAAAAUUUCUGAAAGUAACCGGUCGAACCACCACCAUUGUUCCACAAUUAAUGAUGCCAAAAUGGUUGGAAAUAGAGAACGAGAAAAAAAUAAGAGAUAUUCAUCUGUAUAGAAACAUUAGUCUUUUUUUAUCUUCGGAACCGGAUUGUUGCUCGCAUAAAAAAUGGUGGGUCGUUAAUGAGGUCUGCAACGACACUUUGUACGAAAAUUUAUUAAGCAGAAUACCUCUAAAUGACUGCAAAUACAUCAUGAUGUAUUUAUUCAACGAUAAAACGUUCCCCGAAGGACUGAGUUUUAUCAGUGGAUUAGGAAUCUUAGGUCUGUACACUACAGCCGUAAUAGUCAUAAGUCAAAUGACCAGGAAGGUUGUGACUGAUUUGGCGCCGAGAAUUAUGUUCGAUGAUCUGCCCUACGUCGAUAGGAUACUUCGAUUGUGCUUGGAUAUUUAUUUGGUCCGUGAGAGUGGAGAGUUGAGCCUCGAGGAAGAUUUGUUUGCCAAAUUGAUAUUCCUUUAUAGAUCACCAGAGACGUUGAUCAGGUGGACGAGGCUUCCCGAGGAAGGGGAGAGAACUGAUAACGAAGAUCAAGAUGACGCGGAUGAGGAUGUUGCGAUAUCUCGGCAAUAAAUUGUCGAACGUUUAUAAGGGUAUAAACGUUACGAACGAAACAAUAUUUGGCCUGUUCUUUGGCCAAGAACUUUUGUUGAGUCGAAGAUUUUGAAUAUUUUAUCACUUAUCGCGAUGUGAAUUCAUUAUCAGUAAUUUCGGAUAAGACAAUAGUUCGCGCAUUUAUUGCGAAAGUGACGCGAAGAAUGGUUCGAAAAAUUCGAAAAACUCAGGAAUUUAUUAUAACCGUGUUUAUUGUUAAAGAAUUGAUUAACGAAGAUCGUUCCUAUCUUCGAAUAUGUAUAUUAUAAAGAUGUAUAUACGCAAGUAAUGCAAAGAGGAAAUUAUAUAAUUAGAAGAAGCGGAAGAUUUGAAAAUUUGAGAAAAGUUCGAGGAUACAUUAUACGAUAGAAUUAUUUAUUUCUUAAUCGUAUUUUUAAGCGAAACAGGUUUUAUUAAUUUUUAUUUUAAUAUUUAUAGGAUAAGGAAUUUAAUAUUAAUAAUAUUUAUCGCUUUAUCGUAUUCAUAUUUUAAGAUAUGAAAAAUUGUGAUUACGAAACAUCAAUAAUUCUAUUUGAAAAAAAUGCUUUAUAAAAUUAAGCAUCUAAUGAAUAAGAUUGUUACAGCACGUGCAGGAUAGUGCUAGUUUUUAUCUCUAAUUUACUACAAUUCAUGCCUAAACCGAACUGUAUUUCUAGCAUUUAAAUUACAUCUUCAUAGUUCGAUAAAGAUAUCAACUACAAAUCAGCACAGAAUAUGUUAUAAUAUAACAAGGAAUACAUAUUAAAUGCAGCUUAUACAUCUAAACCGCAUAACAUAGUUUUAUUUUCUUAAAUCUUUUUUAAAAAAUAUUAGUAAAAAUGUUAAAAAAUAUAUCAUCUCGUUAAUAUCAGCACACAUAUUAUCACUUUUCACUCAAGAUAUAUAAUAAUAAAAAAAAUAUCAUAUAACUAAAAGAUGUGCAAAAUUUUACAUUCCGAUAAUUAACUAUUAAUAUUAUAUGGAAAGUUAUAGACUAAGCAAUAUUGUGCAAAACACGUAUUUUCCAAAACACGUAGAUAAAUUAUCGAUGAUAGCAUGAUUUGUUUUACAUAAAAAAUGUCCAGACUUAAUCAAGCGAAUGUUUUUCUACGAAAGAAAUAUAAUUCUAUGAGGAAAAUGUAAAUGAUUCUACAAGGAAAAUAAAAGUGAUUCUACGAAGAAAAUGUAAAGUGGAAAAUCCACUGUUUUAAUUUAUAAUUGGUUUUAUAUGUAACAUGGAAUUAAAAAUACAAAUAAAAAAUCAAAUCAUAAGGGAA